AAUUAUUAAUUUAUUUAUAUUUUAAUUUAUAUUUAUUUUUAAUUAAAUUAAUAUUAAAAUUUAAGGUUUUGUAUAGAGUAUAGAAAAAAUUUAAUUUAUAAUAAUGUAUUAGUAUUGUGAAAGAAUAUUGAAAUAAAAUGAAAAUAUAAUUAAUUUAAAGUUGUAUUUAUUUUAUGUACCUUUUGUAUCAGGGUUUAUUAAAUAAAUUUUAUUUAUAAAUAAAUUUCUCGAAUUUAAAAGAUUUAUUAAAUUAUUAAAGUUAAUGUAAUAUAAUUAUUUUAAAUAAUUUAAUAGAAAUGAAAUGUUAUUCGUUUUUAAAUAUAUCUAGUUUUUUAAGAAAUAAAUUUAAUUUAUAUAUAUUUAAUAUUAAUUUUUAAUUAUUAAAUGAUUAAUUUAUUUAUAUAAAUAUAUUAAGGGAUAAGCUUUAAUUUAAAGUCUAUAAUUGUAUAAGAAGUAAUUAAAUUGUAGAUUUAGAAAUAGUCAUCAAUAAAAAUUUUGUUUUAAUUUAUUAAUUUAAAAAAUUAAUUUAUUAUAAAGAUUUAGAUUUUCUAUUAAAAUAAUAAUUUUAAUUAAUAAAAUUAAGUAAUAAUGAUAAAAUUAGUAUUAAAAUUUGUUUGUAUUUAUAAAAUAAAUAGAUUAAUUUAAGGAAUUCGGCAAAUUAAAACUCACCUGUUUAACAAAAACAUGUCUUUUUGAUUAUAAUUUAAAGUCUGACCUGCCCACUGAAAAUUUUAAAGGGCCGCGGUAUUUUGACUGUGCAAAGGUAGCAUAAUCAUUAGUCUUUUAAUUGAAGGCUAGAAUGAAUGGUUGGAUGAGGUUUUAACUGUCUCAAAUUAAUAAAGAAAAAAAAUUAAUUUUUAAGUUAAAAAGCUUAAAUAAUAUUAAAAGACGAGAAGACCCUAUAGAUCUUUAUAAUAAAAUUUAUUUAAUUAUAAAUAGAAAAAUAACAUAUUAAAUAAAUUUUAUUAUUUUAUUGGGGUGAUAAAAAAAUUUAAUAAACUUUUUUUUAAAAUAAAACAUUUAUAAAUGAAUAUUUGAUCCAGUAAUAUUGAUUAUAAGAUUAAGUUACCUUAGGGAUAACAGCGUAAUUUUUUUAGAGAGUUCUUAUCGAUAAAAAAGAUUGCGACCUCGAUGUUGAAUUAAAGGUAAAUUUUAGGUGUAGAAGUUUAAAAUUUUGGUCUGUUCGACCAUUAAAUCUUUACAUGAUUUGAGUUCAAACCGGCGUGAGCCAGGUUGGUUUCUAUCUUUAAUAAAAAAAAAUAUUUUAGUACGAAAGGACCAAAUAUUUAAUAAAAUAUUUUAUAUAAGAGUAAUAUUAUU
rnacentral:rRNA from 1 species